GACGAACCGCGCGAACGUUAUUCGGAAUCACUGGGCUUAAAGCGCGUGUAGGCGGGACGGCACGUCGGUCGCUGAAAGCCCCCGGCUCAACCGGGGAACGGGCGCCGAUACGACCGGCCUGGAGGGACGUAGGGGGACCUGGAACUUCCGGUGGAGCGGUGAAAUGCGUUGAGAUCGGAAGGAACGCCCGUGGCGAAAGCGAGGUCCUGGACGUUUUCUGACGCUGAGACGCGAAAGCCAGGGGAGCGAACGGG
rnacentral:rRNA from 1 species